rnacentral:rRNA from 1 species
CGUAUAUUAAAGUUGUUGCAGUUAAAAAGCUCGUAGUUGGAUUUGUGGCGUAUGGUGUGUUCCGGGCACUUGUUGUCUGAGUAACCUGCUGUUGCCAUCCUUGGGUGGAACCUGUGUGGCAUUAGGUUGUCGUGCAGGGGAUGCCCAUCUUUUACUGUGAAAAAAUUAGAGUGUUCAAAGCAGGCUUAUGCCGUUGAAUAUAUUAGCAUGGAAUAAUGAGAUAGGACUUUUUUACUAUUUUGUUGGUUUGCGUAAAGAGGUAAUGAUUAAUAGGGACAGUUGGGGG